rnacentral:misc_RNA from 1 species
ACUCCUCAGAGUCGUUGUUUCGAGUUAACGAUAAUCAAAGAAUUUCUCCUGGUACAGUCGUUACAGGUUACCUUUACGAAGUGGAGCACCAAUGUAAAAUAUAUGUUGGUUAAAUUGUUCAGUGGCUUGUUGUUAAGGGCUAAAUUUAGGCGGCAGACUACGUGUACUUAUGAAGGUUUGAUCUAACUAAGCUUUUCCCCGACUACGUUAGAGUUUAAACAGUGGUCUAUGCUGAGAGGACAUCUACAAUGGCUUAUUUAGCCUACUAUAAGAGUGCGCAUCCAAAGUUGCGUACACACACAUCGGACAUGGCCUCUCCAGAUGCUCUGCCUGAUUCAACACAGGAUCUUGAUGAGUCCUUACCAAAUUUGACGGCCGCAGCAGCAGAAGAUGAAGAACCCACCAGCUCUCCAGCAUCACCAGAGCAGGAGGUUGUUGAUGUAGAGUCAUAUCAGCCUUGUGUUGUGGAUCUCACCUGUGAAGAUGAAGAUGAAGUGGAUGUUGUUGAGGUUGUCUCUCAAGAACAACCAGUUAUUUACUUGGGGACUGAACAGAGAAGAAUAUCUUCAAGGAGGCGAAAUACAAGUGAUAAUAAUGCACCUCCUGAAGUUGAAGACCUAACUCGUCCAGAAAGAUAUAGUGCCAUUGAUGAUAGUAAUGACGAUAGUAACAAUAAUGCCAUAUCAGCAGAGAGGCAACAAAAUCAGUGGAAUUUCGAGCCUCCUGCUGUAGACUUUCAUAACCCAAACCUUUUGUUCGGGAACCUUCUUGAAGAUUUACCAGUGGCAACAGUUGAUGACCACAACCCACGCCCUAGACCGAACCUAUUUAUGCCACGGUUGCCGAGAGAAAUGCGCCUUUCCACGAGACGUCAACGAAGCAGAUCCAGAUCGCCGCAACUACCUGAUUAUCCUCGAGAUGCGCCACGGACACCUGAAUUCCUUCGAGACCUUGACGAGCUCAUGACAGAAGUAGAGAGUAGGAUGCCUCCACCUCGUAUCCUUGGCCAAGCAGAAAAUUCCCUCUCGGCAAAUCAAUUAAUAGCUCAGGAACACAGUAACAGAGUGGCACAGAUGACAGUCCCACAGGCACCUCCAAGUCCACCCCCACCAGAACAACCAACCAUCUCGUGCCUCGUUUGUUUAGACUCUUUAGCUACAAUACAAAAUACUUCACGUACCUUAUGCUCGACUGUGUGCGGUCACGUUUUCUGCUCAGCUUGUAUUGAAGAGGUUGUAAAACAGAGGAAACAGUGCCCAGUUUGCAGGAAAAAGUUAACAAAGAAACAAUAUCAUCCACUUUUCAUUUAAAAAAAAUCUUGUUUUCUCCGGCAGAAUGAAAGGAGGUAGUUUAGUGUAUAUAUUGAUCUCCUUCAACAUGUGAGUUUAUGUAACUCUUGUGUGAAAGAACAACAGUGUGUAACUUCUCGUGUACAUAAGAACCCAGUACUCCAGCUACCCCAUGUCAUGAUAGUGCAACAAGACAUCAUUCUAAUAAUGUAACAUAUUUAAGAGUGUGUGUGUAAAUCAUCUGUGUCAGUGUUAUAUAAUGUUUAGAAAAAAUCUUAGACUUGCAGUGAAGUAGCACAAAAGCAUCCAGAACUUUGAGCACAAUAAAUUCCAAGAAUUUUCUUUUAUAAGGAGUUUCUUAAAGAAUCUGUUGUUGAGAUUGUGCAUUUUAUUUUAUACUUGGCAAGAAUUUUUUCGACAAAUGUUACAGGAAUAAGGAAACAAAGGCAAAAAAAAAGUGAACUUUCAAUUAUUCAAGAGUACAUUGCAUUGAAUCACAAAAAGUAAAAUGUAAUUUUUGAGGAAAACUUAGCACAAUUCUUGCAUAUGUGGCUGGUGAUAUCUAAUGAAGAGGAGGAUGAGUAUAUGUGUAGAAUUACUUCUCUAACAUAUGCUGAUAGACACUGGUUAUGAUUGUUGCAUGGCGUGAAAAUUGCACAAUUCCAUCAUUGGUCGAGAUAUUACGGAUAGCACCACUAGAUAUGCCAGGAAAUUUAACAUGAGGUUAUGUAUUGUAGCUAUAGCUUCUGGAACUUCUUCAACUUCCUCUUGGGUAUGUAACUUGUAACCUUGAUAUUUCACUAGAUAAUUCCUGUGCUUCAUGUAUCAUUUAACAGUCAUUGAAACAUAAGUGUUGAAUAUUUGGGGUUUUGCUUGGUGAUAUCUUUACAGUAUAUUUUUUUAAGAGAAAGCAAAAGAGAGAGAGAGAGAGCCUGUACCAGUAAGUGCAGUUCUCUUUGGACACAGUACUACAUGUAUCAAAAUAUCACCCAAAAUUACCACAAAUAUACUUUUUGCAAUCAAAGCAGGGCAUUUAGUAGCCUAAAAUUUGGAGAGCCUUGGACCUAUUUAUAAAAAUUACAGGAGUCUCAAUGGAUUCUCAAUAGUUGAGGUAAAAAAUUAGGAUCCAUCAUGUUCUAUUAAACAAGUACAGUAUUUUGUAACAACAUAGUCAUGCAAAGCAGCAAAGAUGUGUUUUAUUAACGCUAACAAAAAUAGUGUAAACUUUUAAUCACAGAAGUGUACAGUACAGUAUAAGGUUAAGUGGGCACCAGUCUUGUCCAUCAUUCUGAAGUGAUGAAUUGGAUGAAGAUCUUCCCCAAAAGUUGCUGCUGUGUUGACUAGAUUGUACUUCACCUUCCCCACUCAAAGCAUCAAAGGACCAACAUUAUUGACAUUAAACAGGUUGGUUGUGAGUAAGUUCCUUUUGACUUUUUGAAGUUGAUCCUAAAUGAAUCUUGGGGAAUUGUAUGCCUUUAUGCAUUUCUUCAAUGGUCAUUGAGACACCAUAAUUAUAGGGUCCCUCAGUAAAACUUCCAUGUAUCCUGUCAAACCUGCAGAUUUAAACUUCAGUGCAUCUAAAAAAAAUUCUUGUGUAUUAGGAACCUAGAUCCCUAGGCUAUUGAAUGCCCUGCUCAAGGAUUUUAAGAUGGCAGUGUGUUUUUAUUCUUACUCCAUAAUAUAAUUUGGUAAAAAUAAACAUAGAUUUUAAAAAAAAGAUGUUGAUAUAUUGCCCAAUAUUUAUCCAUUCUUUUAACUGUGAUAAGAAAAAUUACAUUUUACAUACCUAUUAAAAUCUGACAUUGUAGCUAGUGAAGCUCUUGCUAACUAACCUGGGAAUGAGGGCUUUUAUACCAUCAUUUUAGUUAAUUAAACCUUACCCCUUAGCCAUGAGGUUUUUACUGAUUGGCUAGAACUGGAGAAGUAUUCACCAUUCCAACUAAUUUAUUUAAUACAGUAUACCGGGUAUGUACUCAUUAUUUAAAGUUCUUUCUGGUGAUCUUGUGUUGUGUCAUUAUUUUGGAGGUUAUCUUGUUGCAUCAGUUUACAUUGUUAAUAGUGAGUUAUUAAUGAGGAAGGUGUUUUCAAGCCAGCAACAAAAUUGACGUCACUAACACAACACAAGGUUAGUUAAGUCAGGACAUACUGUAUGCAGUCAAGAUAUGCAGUUACAUUAUCAAGUCCAAAUAGCCUUUUUAGAAUGUUCCUCAUGUACAGUAUUACGAACUUAAAUGCAGGGUGGCCAAAACCAAGAACAAACGUAUCACAUUCACUGUCACUCAUUCUCUCUGAUAGCACAUAUGUUCUGAUAUUGUGUUUUCCUUCUGCAGUUAAACCCCAAGACAUGAACCUUAUUGAUGCCAGGUAUCCAGUAAUUCAUGCACACUGCUGCUUCCUCAUAUAAAUCACAUGCAGUACAGUAUAGUAAGAUUAAUGUAUUGACAAAGUGAAAGUGGGUCCCAUCAGCAGUACAAAUACAGCACAUUGAAUGAAAGACUUAGUAAUACAAGGAGGUAGGUUAGGUAUUCAUUUACAGCUGGAUGGACAGUGUGCCCUGGGUACAAACCAGAAGCUUUUAGGACAUGAGGUGAGUGCUGUAUCCAGUUGGCUGGAGUAACCCAAAAAGUUAAACCUUGUAAACACAGAGAUAGUUGUCAAGGGUUUCCUAAUUAAUUCUGAAAAGUGUUAAGAAAAAAAGUGAUUACAUAGGGUACGUUGAAAAUUCUUAGCUUCUGAAACAAAAGAAAAUGCAUAAUGAAAGUGUAGAAUAAUAACAAAUCCCAUACAGUAGUAACAAAAAUCUGAUUAUUCAUUUAUUUUGGUAGAGCCCAUAAAAUUUAUUAUUUGGAAAUGAACUUAACUUAUCUCAACAUUUCACUUGCAGAUGUACACUCGCUACAUAAAGUAUCUGCAAAGUGGGGUCCGAUGGAUGUCAAAAUGAACACUGCGACUCCUGUUGUCCUGGGUUGGUACGAGUGUCUUCACCCACCGCCAUUCAGCAUCCAACACAGGGAGUGAGUUGCUGUAUAGGAAUAAAAUAAACGGUUAAGUGUUUAUUAUCACAGAGUGUAAGAAGACAACACGCUUAUCCUAAUACCAAUCGUCCGUGGUCUCUUGUUGUUUCACAUAGCAUGCACAGAUACUUUUUCUAGCUACUGUACAUACUGUAUUGAUGUGAAGAAAUUGUGGUACAGUACUGUAAUUGAAAUGUGAACAAUGUGACACUAAUUAUUGAGCAGAGACCCCAGUUGUAUUAUGAAGUUGGACCAAACCAUGGCAGAUAAUAAGCAGUGAAAUAGUACAUAACUUUAUUCAGUAUUGUAUGCUUGAUAACUUUAUAUUUACAUGAAUGAAUACCUUCUAUAAUAAUGAUUUUUGGUGAUAAAAAUAUGUACAGUCCUCCUGCCAAAAAGUGUAGUUACUUUUUCCUUCUGUACAAUUUGAAACACUGGACAAAAUGCUUUGAUGUAUUUUCCAGCACAUCAUUAUAUGUUGGUAUGCCUGCUCCCCACGUCGGUAACAGUACAGUACAGUAUUCAAAUAUACUGUACACACCCUACCGGAUGUGUAUAGUAAUUAUAAAAUAUCUGCAGGAAUAAAACUUUUGAGUAAAUUA